rnacentral:rRNA from 1 species
UUGCAUAUCAAUAAGCGGAGGAAAAGAAACUAACAAGGAUUCCCUUAGUAACGGCGAGUGAACCGGGAAAAGCUCAAAUUUGUAAUCUGGCUGUCUUCGAUAGUCCGAGUUGUAAUCUAUAGACGUGUUUUCCGUGCUGGACCGUAUCUAAGUCCCUUGGAACAGGGUAUCAAAGAGGGUGACAAUCCCGUGCUUGAUACGACCACCAGUGCUCUGUGAUACACGCUCUACGAGUCGAGUUGUUUGGGAAUGCAGCUCAAAAUGGGUGGUAAAUUCCAUCUAAAGCUAAAUAUUGGCGAGAGACCGAUAGCGAACAAGUACCGUGAGGGAAAGAUGAAAAGCACUUUGGAAAGAGAGUUAAACAGUACGUGAAAUUGUUGAAAGGGAAACGAUUGAAGUCAGUCGUGUUCUUUGGAUUCAGCUAGUUCUUCUAGUCUACUUCCUUUGAACGGGUCAACAUCAGUUUUGUCCGGUGGAUAAAGAUAGUAGGAAUGUAGCUCCCUCGGGAGUGUUAUAGACUAUUAUUGCAUGCACUGGGUGAGACUGAGGACUGCAGCUCGCCUUUUGGCCGGCCUUCGGGUACGUUCGAGCUAG